rnacentral:rRNA from 1 species
CAGUCGCCACGGGAAAACGAAGGCCCCGAGCGUUGUUCGGAAUCACUGGGCGUAAAGGGAGCGUAGGCGGCGUGGUAAGUCAGAUGUGAAAUCCCGGGGCUCAACUCCGGAACUGCAUCCGAUACUGCCAUGCUAGAGGAUUGGAGAGGUAGCUGGAAUUCUUGGUGUAGCAGUGAAAUGCGUGGAGAUCAAGAGGAACACUCGUGGCGAAAGCGAGCUGCUGGACAAUAACUGACGCUGAGGCUCGAAGGCCAGGGUAGCGAAAGGGAUUAGAUACCCCGGUAGUCCCUGUCUCUUAUAC